UAUUCUUAUAGUCUAUUUUUCAGCAUACACACUAAUCUCCUUCUUUAAGAAAAGAGAAAACCCAUCCAAUUCCAUAUUUUUGAGUUGCUUCCGGGUUCUGAAGAUUGAUCGUUCGGAGCCGUCCGAUCUCAAUCUCAGUGAAGACCCAGUUGUGUACUCCUCGCAGGAGAUUAAGAACCUCCUUCAGCGGAUUGCCGAAGGCAAUCGUGCCACCGGUGGUUGAUUUUUUUUUUUUUUAAUUUUUUAUUCAAAAAUAAUAAUUUCCUUGGCUGAGGUUAAAUUUAAAAAAAUACGACUAUUCACCUUCUCUUCUUCCUCUUUCAUUAUUUGCAAUUACCCUACAUCUGAUUGACAAGAAAACUCAAGAAUUGAUACAACGGAGAGAGGUUUCUCUCUCUCUCUUCUCUUUCUUGCAUAAACCCACAAACCAUACAACAGAAAGAGGUUUCUCUCUCCUCUCUCUUAGCGAUUUCAUUCUUUCUGGUUUAGAAUUCUAAGAAUUUGGGGGCGCAUCGAAACCCUAGAUUUGCUCCCAUUGUUGACCGGUGACUUUUUUCAGAUUCGUUUUCUUUUAUUUUUAUUUUUGUUUCGAUUUUUUUUUGGCAUUUUUAGAAACUAUGUUAUGAGCGCAGAUCCGUUCGAGCUUUCAUGUUUUAUGUUUGUGUUUUUGCAUGGUACCUCCCAAAAAAGUACAGUGGAUGAACUAUUACAGUAAGCACCCUUACCAAUUCUUCUUUUUCAGAUUAUUUGUUAUUAUCUUUACUGAUUUCAUUCUCCUUGUUUCAGAUUGUUUGGAUUUUGUUAUGUUUUAAAAGUUACUUAUUUUAUUGGAAUUUGGAUUUAAUUUUUUUGGGAUAUAAAUUUGUUCGUUACUUCGACAUCUAUUUGAGAUGAUUUUAUUAAUUUAUUUAUUUCGUUUCCGUGCAUUUCUAUGCUCUGUCAUCAACUGGUUUUGAAUUUAGGAGAAAAGAUUAUUAAUUUGUUUAUGUUUGUGAGAUUUCAUGGCUUGGUAGCUAAUAUUUGAUUGUUCAAGCCUUUCGUAGCUAACCUAUAUAUACACACACAUAUAUAUAUUUAUUUAUAUGUGAGAUUCCAUGGCUUGUUAGCCAAGAUCUGAUUUUUCAGCCUUUCAUAAACCACUACCACCAUAAUACUCCCCAUGGUUUGAACUUCAAAGCCAGUACCUCGUUGCACCAUUCACGACUCUUGAGGGCAGCACAGUCGCGAGCCACUGUCAUUGACCAAGCUAAAAUUUUUCAAUAUUGUGACUCGUUUCGAACUAUAGAAACAAACUGUUAAACUCAUCAAGAAAUCAAUGGACAUGAAGUACAUACAUGCUGCUGAAAAAAAUUAGGUGGACUGAGAUUUCUAAACUUAUAAUUGUCUUGAUUCUGAGUUCCUACCAAGAACUAAUAUGGUAACAAAUUAAUUAAGGGUUUAUUAUGAAAUGGAGAGUUCUAUUUUGCUUUAAUUAUUUUUUUUCUGGCUUCAAUUUCGUUUCAAAUUCUCUGCCCUGUAUGUGUUCUUCUUUAUUUUAUUUUUCUUGCAGAUUUAGUGAUUGCAAGUAGUAAAGGAUAGUCUCUUGCUCAUUCUUCAAAGGUUUUGCAGCAUAUGAUGAGUGGUCUCAUUACUUGCGUGUGCAUCUCAAUCUGUGGUUGAUAAGUAAAAAAUAGUUUAUUCCAUAGCCAUAUUUUACACUUGAUUAUUUCCGUUGGAUUAUUUUAAAGAAACUGAACAUGUAUGUUCUGCUGUUCUAGAACAAUAGAAAUGGAAAGUAGUAUCGAUAGAGAGGGAGGAUGACUUGGAUACUCUUUUGGAAAAGUAAUUGAUAUUUUAUUCUAUGAGAAUUGCACAGAAAGCUUCAAUGUGUUGGACUUCAAAGACUUAGCAAUAUUAAAAAAUUGGUGUAAUUAGAUUGCAAUAUUAAAAAAUUAGUGUAAUUAGAUUUAUAAUACAUUUACAAGUCCAAUUUAGUUGGUGCUUGAAUUGAGUUUGUUAGAAAUGUUUUGUAUUUGAUUAUAUGAAUAUUUUGUUGUUUUAGAUAA